CGUGAUCCUUCUAUUAUCACCUAUAUUCAGUAUAGUUUCGAUUAGAUCCUAACGUUGUCAUUUGCUAAGCUAAGUUCGGGGUUACGUCGCAGUUCAGAAGAAUUACGUGGAGGUUGACUUAGAUCUUCAGUACUUCCUACUAGAAUUGGAGUGAUAGACGUAGAAGUUACAGUUCCAGUAAAGAAUCUAGUAAAGUCUUGACUAGAAGAUUUUCCAGCAACGUGAAGAGUACGCCUGUUCCAGUACUUAUCUACUCUAUUUGCGAUAGUGUAGAAACAGUUGAUAAUUCUGCAGAAUUCUUCACUCCAGCUAGAGAGAGAUCGGCCGCUAGAAGAUCAUCGAGUCCGGUUGUUGGUGAAGGAACGAUGGGUCAUAGCAGUUCUAUGUCAUAUGAUACAGUGGGGCACGACAUUGACACAACAGGAUCGCUUUCUCCUGUGGAUCUAAGAAGACAGAGCCCUCCGAGGGAGGAGCGCAGAUAUAACACUAGGAGACCUGAGGAACGGAGACAACCUGAUCGUCUAGGAUACAACGUUAGACUAGUUACGGAUCUUAUAAAACUCUUCAACCAGUAGAAGACGAGGAGAUGCCCGGAUAGGGAAGUACACUUACUUUGGAAUCUAGUUUCAGUACAGUAUAGUCUUACUCACAUAGCUAGCUUUCCACUUAGUACUUAGCAGUGGUAUUGUACCUUACUUAGGCAUAACACGUGUUAUCUUUCAGAACAUUACUGAUAGGGAUAAUAGGAUCAUUACUCUCAACACGACUCGCUCAGGGCUGCUUUAGUGGCGGAAACGUAGAAACUUUCGAAUUUAUUUUGACUUCUUUGUUUGCUUGUCAAGGACGUUUAGAGAUUCCGAUACAUCUCUAUCUAAUGAUGAAGACUCAACACCAAAGACUCUACAACUUGGUGCAAAAGGGAAGUAUUUGAAAGUUUUAGAAGAUUUGUGGAAGUCAAGUUCAGUUUUAACUUUAGAAUUUUGAGGAUUUAAAUUUAAUGCACAGGGUUAGGGCCGUGUAUUUUAUUUUGAGACUUGACUUAUUUUUAAGUUUUGGACUUUUGAUGCGUGGAAGCAUUGAAAUUUAAAUUUUGAAAAGGGCGAUUAUUUUAUUGUUUUAAAAUAUUCGAAAAAAAUUUUUGGGUAGAGAUGUUGUAAUAUGGUAUUUAGAGAUAUCUUUUAGGAUAUCUUAGUUUUAGUAUAACGUUUACGGGACGUAUAAUUUAGUAUGUGUUUCCGGGUAUAUAAUAACCAAUGUUUUUAUAUGUUCGUAUUUGGGAGUUACACAUUUUGAGUGUAAGUCGGUUGGCUGGCAGAACUACUGUCAGACUAACUGUCUGAAACGAGCCGUCCGCUCACUUUGCACCUGACUUACAGCCAGGCCUGUGGUUGGUCCUCGCGACCACAGCGUGACUGCUAGUGGAGUGCUCAUUGGCGAGACGGCGUGUCACGUGGUGCAAGCAAAUGCGUUGUGCCGUCACGCAGUGUGGCGUGACGAAGUUUUGAGAGUAUACCCGGAGAGCCGGAUGUGAAGAGCUCACUUCUUAGUUGCCCCUUAAUCAUUUUAAGGGAUCCGAUUGUCAAUAGCCAGUUUAACUGAGUACUAUUCUCUGUGACUAGACACGUAGUGUGAUCUAUAUUCACGGCAAUCGUUUGGAGCGAACACUUGGAAGUUUUAUCUGUUGACGUUCACUUUGUAUUACUUUUCCAUUUUAUUAAUUAUCCUUUUU